UUCUAUUUGAAACAAGGAUGUACUUGAUAUAGCGAACAAUACGAGGGGUCUUCUUGCAAAACGGUAUCUGGAAACCACAUGAAUUCCGCCUCUAUCAUAACCGCCCAAUGCUAAUCGAACGGCUCGUGAUCGCGACCACUGGUUGCGACCUAGCCGGCCGCGCCGCCCUCUGAGCCGCCGCCGGUCUCGUCGCCGCCUCGCCGGCGCACUGUCCCCCUCCCCCCUGGCCGCCGGCGGCUGCGAUUAUGGCUUAGAUUUGCACCUCGCCGCCGCUUCCAAUAGUGACCUCAGCAAGAAGAACCGAAGAGCAGCCGCCGUGCAAGAAGACGACCUGAAGCUCCGUCUAGUCCGAGUACACGCUGGGAUGGGGCAAUGCAACCUCGUACCAUCCUUUUCAUCAUUUUUCUCACUGAACUUCUGCGUUGUGUUCUUGAUUGAAACUCAUAGGGCGAUAUUAGAAAGGUGAUUAUUAUUAUUUCUUUGAGGGGAAGAAAGGUGAUUAUUUUGUAGAGUGAACUUGGAAGAGCUCCAGAACCAGGGGCCUGUCAGAGCACUCGUUUCAGGCUUCGAUUCAGAGAGGCAUUGGCGACAUUACGUUGUCUCUGCUGACAGCUAAGAUUGCAAUGGGCAUGGCAAGUGUGAACUGCUGUUGCACUGGGAUGAUCCCAUUCAGCUAUAUACCAGCGGUUUAGCAGUAACUGCUCUAUUAUGAUAAUGCCAGCAAAAAUAUGAGCAGAACAUCAGCAUCAGACCCACCGGUGUCGUCGACGUUUAAAAGAUUAGUAUAAUCAUCUUCAGAACCGUUUCCUCUUGGCUGUAUCACCCAAUUUGGAGGACAAGUGUUAUAUUUUACUGCCUUUUUUCUGUUGCUGAGAAUAUGCAAGAUCAUCGCGUAUCUCACUACAAGAAAAGGUGAAGAGGCGAAAGAUAGAUGCCCCAAAUCCACUUACAAAACUGGUUAGUCGCGUUGUGUUGGUUGUAUGUACCAAUCAGUGAAGAUACCGUGCCAUGGAUCAUAGGCAAGUGAACAAUUUUUUUUCUCUAAAGAAGCUUCGCAAGUGAAAAAUGGAAUAGCUAAUCUCUGAAGAACAGUUGGGUUUCAGAAGCAUAUCAGUUUCCCCGAAGAUAUUAAGCAGUUGAGGUAAGUUAACCAACCCGGGCCAUCCAGAAGCAGCUGCGAAACACAGACGUAUCCAUCUUGAGUAUUAAUAAAAAAUUGACUUAUAAUCUUGGUUUUAUUCUACACGGUUGUUAUCAAAUCUGCACCAUGAAAACGAAAUGAAACAUCUGUCUGAGGGAGAUGAAACAUCUACACGGUUGAAAUAUCUUCCAAGCUACUCUUCUUCUGAACAUUUGUUGUACUCUAGUUGCAGCGUAUCCAACACUUCAGCUGUAAUGUCAUUUCAACACAAGAUGUUACUAGCCCAUAUAAGUGUAAUACAGAACCAAAUUUAAACACUACAAACAUGUCAUAAUUUCUGUGCACGGAACUAGAACACUUCAACCAGUCUUGUUUUCUGAAAACCA